rnacentral:rRNA from 1 species
UACGGAGGGGGCAAGCGUUGUCCGGAAUCACUGGGCGUAAAGGGCGCGUAGGCGGCUCAUGAAGGCUGUGGUGAAAGUCCGGGGCUCAACCUCGGAUCGGCCGUGGCGACUCGUGGGCUGGAGCACUGUAGAGGCGGGUGGAAUUCCGGGUGUAGCGGUGGAAUGCGUAGAGAUCCGGAAGAACACCAGUGGCGAAGGCGGCCCGCUGGGCAGUGGCUGACGCUGAGGCGCGACAGCGUGGGGAGCAAACAGG